rnacentral:lncRNA from 1 species
AUGCGGAUGUGUUUUAUUGAUAACUAUAGUACCAUAUGUGGCUUUGCCAGCAGUGGUGUUGUUUUCUGAAUUGAUGCGCAACAGCUCGUCAGGUUCUGAAUAACAAAGUGAAAUUUACAAUUGAAUCCCAGACCUAGAAGUUUCGUUGUAAAUUAAGACCGUGAAAAAUAACUUUGUGUUUAUGGGAAAAAUUGAGUUUAUAAGUAGGUUUUUCAUCUACCUGAGUGUCCAGAAUGGCAUUUGAAAGUUAACUAGGAUAUGGGGCAAUUCUGCAUGGGCUGAGGUUGUCCUCUCUACCACACGGACCUGACCCUCUAAAUGCCUGUAGUGACCCCCUCCUACCAUUUU